GCCGCUGCUCCGCAAGGAGGAGAGGAAAGUCCGGGCAACACAGAGCACCGUGCUUCCUAACGGGAAGGAGUCCGCGAGGGCUACGGAAAGUGCCGCAGAAAAGAUACCGCCUGCUUGCAGGUAAGGGUGAAAACGCGAGGUAAGAGCUCACGACACUGCGCAGUGAUGCCGGUGAUGGUAAACCCCACGGGUUGAAAGACCAAAUAAACCGAGGCUUGAGGGUGGCUCGCCCGACUCGGAGGGUAGGUUGAUAGAGCCGUUCGGUGACGGGCGGCGUAGAUAAAUGGCGGAACUCGACAGAACCCGGCUUACAGACUGC
rnacentral:RNase_P_RNA from 1 species